AAUAUUUACAUGCUUUUAUUUAUAGCUUUAUCUACUUAGAAUUCCACCAUAAAAAUCUGAUACGGUCCGUAUUUGGGGCUAUCGAUAUUAAACUGAUUUUUAGAACGAGGCGAAGUGUUAGGGGCUUGCUCCACAUUUGCCACGGGUGGCCUGGUAUUGCAGUGCUUCCAGGAUUCAGCCGUUUUUA